rnacentral:rRNA from 1 species
AUGUACAUUCCAUAUUUCCAAGAGAGUCUCCUAAGUGAAGGCAGAGAUAGAUAUCUUGUUACCUUUACGGUGGCGAACGUCAUGUUAUUUGUAUAUGCUAUUGUGAAUCUGCAUAUUUGUUAUAUUUCACAUUGUAAGUGGAAUUAUCCAAUGCAGUUUACAUACGUGAACAAUAUAGGAAUCAACAUGAAGAAUCCAAUUAAUCAAGCGGUAUUUAAAUAUAAAUUCUCACCCAGCGGAUUGUCCAUCGAGAUGCCAAGCCCUCCAUUCAUCCAUAAUGGGGAAGUUGAGAGAUCUUACCCAAGACUGUGUACCCAAAAAUGGUACAACAGCAUCAUGGUCUCCACUGUAGAAGAAAGAGAGUAA